rnacentral:rRNA from 1 species
AACGAACGCUGGCGGCAGGCCUAACACAUGCAAGUCGAGCGGAUCCUUCGGGAUUAGCGGCGGACGGGUGAGUAACGCGUGGGAAUAUGCCCUUCUCUACGGAAUAGCCUCGGGAAACAGGGAGUAAUACCGUAUACGCCCUACGGGGGAAAGAUUUAUCGGAGAAGGAUUAGCCCGCGUUGGAUUAGGUAGUUGGUGGGGUAAAGGCCUACCAAGGCGACGAUCCAUAGCUGGUCUGAGAGGAUGAUCAGCAACACUGGGACUGAGACACGGCCCAGACUCCUACGGGAGGCAGCAGUGGGGAAUAUUGGACAAUGGGCGCAAGCCUGAUCCAGCCAUGCCGCGUGAGUGAUGAAGGCCCUAGGGUUGUAAAGCUCUUUCACCGGUGAAGAUAAUGACGGUAACCGGAGAAGAAGCCCCGGCUAACUUCGUGCCAGCCGCCGCAGUAAUAC